UUUCUAAUAAUUCAACGGUCCGGAGUCAAUUAUUCCGCUUAUACUACGGUUGCCACACUUCAAGACAUCGAUCAGAUGAUAUAUUUCAAGGGAUUCGUCCAGUUUUUCUACUUAAAUCGCUAUUGUGAGUAGGAUUAUUUCUUCCGCAUCUCAUCCAACGACUCUUUUGCUAGUUCCAAAACGUCAUUUUAAAGAUGGCAAUGGAGGCUUGAGCUGUUGAUAGCAAACUAAUGCAGUUAAUAAUGAAGUUAUUAGAAAGAGAGCGAGAGAGACAGAGACAAAGAGAAACAGAGAGAGAGAGAGAGAGCUUGUAUGAAUUACGCUACGUCUGUGUGUCCCUCAACAGUGUUCUAAAGCACCGUCUCGAAACUACUAGUCUGCUUUAAGAUGCAGCGCUGUUAUUACCUCGCUAGUGAGAAAUGUCAUGUGUAGCCUUUAAGUUGGUACACUAGGCUAACUAAUACUGCUGCAGCCCAGUUGUUGAAAGUUUCAUAUUCACCGUAAAUAUUAAAAUUUACUUUCGUGUUGUUGUUUUUGUUAGUCCUGUGUGCUGUAUAGGUACUGUAUGCUAAUUUCCGUUAUUACAGUUAACUAUGCGAAGUGAUAUGGAACUGUAAUGUGGUCAAGAGAGCUACCUGGAACUACGUUCGCCUUGCGUUUAUCUGAAAAUAAUUGCACACCUCAGAACGUUCGUCAGCCAAUCAGAUUCAAGCAUUCAACGGUCCCGUAGUAUAAGCAUAAUUAAUAAUCCGUUUGAUAAGGGAGAAGCAAACACAAGCGAUUCAUGAGUGCAUCGUACGUAUUUUAAGAGCAAGUGAAGGUGAAAGACGUUGACUAUUAAGGUGCCCUCCCCAGCCCCCAGGAAACAUUCUAUUUUAAAUAAAUAAUAUAUAUAUAUAUCUCA